rnacentral:rRNA from 1 species
GCACAAGCGGUGGAGCAUGUGGUUUAAUUCGACGCAACGCGAAGAACCUUACCAGGGCUUGACAUCCCCUGACCGCGUAUGAAAGUACGUUUUCACCUUCGGGAGACAGGGAGACAGGUGUGCAUGGUUGUCGUCAGCUCGUGUCGUGAGAUGUUGGGUUAAGUCCCGCAACGAGCGCAACCCCUACGUUUAGUUGCUAACGCGUGAAGGCGAGCACUCUAGACGAACUGCCGUUGACAAAACGGAGGAAGGUGGGGAUGACGUCAAAUCAUCAUGCCCCUUAUGUUCUGGGCUACACACGUGCUACAAUGGCCGGUACAGACGGACGCAAAGCCGCGAGGCGGAGCAAAUCCGAAGAAGCCGGUCUCAGUUCGGAUUGCAGGCUGCAAUUCGCCUGCAUGAAGUCGGAAUCGCUAGUAAUCGCAGGUCAGCAUACUGCGGUCGAAUACGUUCCCGGGCCUU